rnacentral:rRNA from 1 species
UACAGAGGUGGCAAGCGUUGUUCGGAUUUAUUGGGCGUAAAGGGUGCGCAGGCGGCUUUGCAAGACAGAUGUGAAAUCCCCGGGCUCAACCUGGGAACUGCAUUUGUGACUGCAAGGCUAGAGUACGGCAGAGGGGGAUGGAAUUCCGCGUGUAGCAGUGAAAUGCGUAGAUAUGCGGAGGAACACCAAUGGCGAAGGCAAUCCCCUGGGCCUGUACUGACGCUCAUGCACGAAAGCGUGGGGAGCAAACAGGAUUAGAAACCCUAGUAGU